ensembl:snRNA U6 U6 spliceosomal RNA
GAGCUUGGUUCACAGUAUAUAUACGAAAGUUGAAACAGUUCAGAGCAGAUGAGUAGGGCCCCUGAGCAAGGUGACAUGCAAACUCACGAACCAUUCCAUAUUUAA